UACGUAGGUCCCGAGCGUUGUCCGGAUUUAUUAGGCGUAAAGCGAGCGCAGGUGGUUUAUUAAGUCUGGUGUAAAAGGCAGUGGCUCAACCAUUGUAUGCAUUGGAAACUGGUAGACUUGAGUGCAGGAGAGGAGAGUGGAAUUCCAUGUGUAGCGGUGAAAUGCGUAGAUAUAUGGAGGAACACCGGUGGCGAAAGCGGCUCUCUGGCCUGUAACUGACACUGAGGCUCGAAAGCGUGGGUAUCAAACAGG
rnacentral:rRNA from 1 species